UACGUAGGGGGCUAGCGUUGUCCGGAGUUACUGGGCGUAAAGCGUGCGUAGGCGGUGGUCCAAGUCUGGUGUGAAAUCUCCCGGCUCAACUGGGAGGGUGCGCCGGAAACUGGGCCGCUGGAGUAUGGGAGAGGCAAGCGGAAUUCCAGGUGUAGCGGUGAAAUGCGUAGAUAUCUGGAGGAACACCCGUGGUGCAGACGGCUUGCUGGACCAUGACUGACGCUGGAGGCACGGAAAGCGUGGGUAGCAAACAGG
rnacentral:rRNA from 1 species